rnacentral:rRNA from 1 species
GAUGAACGCUGGCGGCGUGCCUAAUACAUGCAAGUCGAGCGAACAGAUGAGGAGCUUGCUCCUCUGACGUUAGCGGCGGACGGGUGAGUAACACGUGGAUAACCUACCUAUAAGACUGGGAUAACUUCGGGAAACCGGAGCUAAUACCGGAUAAUAUAUUGAACCGCAUGGUUCAAUAGUGAAAGACGGUUUUGCUGUCACUUAUAGAUGGAUCCGCGCCGCAUUAGCUAGUUGGUAAGGUAACGGCUUACCAAGGCAACGAUGCGUAGCCGACCUGAGAGGGUGAGCGGCCACAAGGGAACUGAGACACGGUCCAGACUCAUACGGGAGGCAGCAGUAGGGAAUCUGCCGCAAUGGGCGAAAGCAUGAAGGAGCAAGGCAGCGUGAGUGAAGUAGGUUUUCGGAUAGUAAAACUCUGUUAUUAGGGAAGAACAAAUGUGUAAGUAACGAUGAACGUCUUGACGGUACCUAAUCAGAAAGCCACGGCUAACUACGA